rnacentral:sRNA from 1 species
GGCCGAGGGGCUGCGUAGGCCCCGCCCGGCCAGGCCCAGCCGGGCCCUGGACAGACAGGGCAGGGCAUUGUUCAUGCACUGACCGACCUCAGCAGCCCCGGCAUGACCUCAGGGAACGGAAACUCUGCCUCCAGCAUCGCCGGCACUGCCCCCCAGAAUGGUGGGACGCUCGUCCCUGCUGGUGGGGAAUCUCAAGAAGAAGUAUGCACAGGGGUUCCUGCCUGAGAAACUUCCACAGCAGGAUCACACCACCACCACUGACUCGGAGAUGGAGGAGCCCUAUCUGCAAGAAUCCAAAGAGGAGGGUGCUCCCCUCAAACUCAAGUGUGAGCUCUGUGGCCGGGUGGACUUUGCCUAUAAGUUUAAGCGUUCCAAGCGCUUCUGUUCCAUGGCUUGUGCAAAGAGGUACAACGUGGGAUGCACCAAACGGGUGGGACUUUUCCACUCAGACCGGAGCAAGCUGCAGAAGGCAGGAGCUGCGACCCACAACCGCCGUCGGGCCAGCAAAGCCAGUCUGCCACCACUUACCAAGGAUACCAAGAAGCAG